GACAGAGGGUGCAAACGUUGUUCGGAAUUACUGGGCGUAAAGCGAGUGUAGGCGGUGUGGUAAGUCGGAUGUGAAAGCCCCGGGCUCAACCCGGGAAGUGCACUCGAUACUGCCACGCUAGAGUAUCGGAGAGGUUGGUGGAAUUCUCGGUGUAGAGGUGAAAUUCGUAGAUAUCGAGAGGAACACCGGGGGCGAAGGCGGCCAACUGGACGAAUACUGACGCUGAGACUCGAAAGCGUGGGGAGCAAACAGG
rnacentral:rRNA from 1 species